GAGGGUAGAGCUCAGUGGCAGAGUGCAUGCUUAGCAUGCACGAGGUCCUAGGUUCAAACCUCAGUACCUCCA
rnacentral:tRNA from 1 species